rnacentral:lncRNA from 1 species
UAGGGUACUAGAUAUAGAAUAUCCCUCAGACCUAUUUGCUCGAAUCAAACAAGCUACGAGUUAAAACUAGCUUUACAAUAAAAUUUCUUUGCCCUUCAUAUUUUUUGACAUAAAACUCAAUGCUUGCUUAGGCAAAGAGAUCCGGUUACUCAGCAUGAAGCACUUGAAAACUCUUUUCUUUUUUUUUUAAAUAUGAAGAAACAUAUAGUUAACCUAUACAAGUCCAU